AUGUUGGUAUUAGUGCAGCUCACGCAGUUGGAGUUUUUCUCCAUUCCUCUGGUACAAAACCUAGUGAGCUGUUGUUUUAUCACUGAAUAUUGUUCCUCUUUAACAGUGUGUUUAACAGAGGAUAGAGGGCAAAAUGAACACAGAGAGCUCAAAGAAGAGGCUGCUGGUGCUGAUGGAAGGAACAAAACAUGUCCAGCAGAUCAAUGUGUGGAUUUUGUCCCAUUCGAGUCCCAAAAUGACCUUUCUGAAACUGCUUUGGCUCCACUGUCACUUAGUGAGGCUUUAGUGAUCAGACGGCCCGAUUUCAUCCAGCGCUCACAGGCCAGGGUUCGAGCGCUCGAGAGGAGGUCGCAGGAGAGGCAGAACUCCCACAGCUCACCGCAGACAGUCGAGAGCGGAGGAAGCCUUGUGAAAUCCAAAGACGGAAGCAUCAUGGGAAAGAGUCUACAGCUGCGGUCCAGGAGGAGUUAUAACCAGCUGCCUGAGGUGAAGAAGAGGAGAGAGGAAGAAAAGAGGAGAAUAGAAGAGGAGAAAAGAAAACUGGCAUCUCGGACCAACAGGCUGCGGGCAGAGCUCUUUAAAAAGAAACUUCUGGAGCAGAUUUUGCAGAGGGGAGGAAAUCACUGA
ensembl:lncRNA